UUGAACUGUGUGGCUGGAUUCUAUAUCUUUCUCACUUGAAUAUGAUAUCUCUUCUAUCUCUUUUCUUGAUGUUUAUGUAUAUAGGUCAACUGGGCAGGUACUCCAGACAUCUGUAUAUCGUAAACCCACAGACAGGAAUAAUUUUUUUACAUUCAAACAGCUACCAUCCUCCUUCUAUGAAUUUUUUUUUACCAUACAGCCAAUUUCUACGCAUUAGAAGGAUUUGUAGCACUGAUAUUGAAUUUGAGAAUCAGGUGAACAUUACAUACGAUCGCUUUGUGUCCAGGGGCUAUGACUGGACUGGAUUCUGAAUGAAUUUGGAUUCUUGUCUGAAUAGGGUACGGGACACUGAUGGCUUUUCACCGUGGCUUUUCACCGUGUCUUCAAUAGGUUAAGAUACAAUUGGGGCACUGAUAGGAAGUCACUUUUAAAGAAAAAAUAAUCCAAUUUGGAAGAUCGCAUUAUUCUGUCCACUACUUAUUCCCCCUUCUCCAGAGACAUUAAGUCCAUAGUUAAUAAACAUUGGUACAUUUUAUCUAGUGACACAUCCAUUGGUCAGAACUUUCAGAGACCCCCUCUUUUUGCUCACGAAACAUUUAAAAAUGUGAGACACACUGGUAACAGCAGAUUCUUCUACUCCUUCUACCAAUUGGCUCACUACACUUGAUCCUGGAAACUUGUCAUGCAGAAAUUGUGUGAAUUGUAAUAAUAUGAUCAGAGGUAACUCCUUUCUACACCCGCGCACGGGGAAAACUUUUUCUGUAAGAGGAAGAAUAUCUUGUCGCACGACUUUCGUUUAUUUAUUGAAGUGCCCAUGCGGUUUCUGUUAUGUAGCCAAAACCAAAAGAGAAUUAAGAAUAAGGAUUAAUGGACACAAAAGCAAUUUCAGGAACCAUGAUGUGAAAUCGUCUGUAGCUAGGCAUUUUAACGAAUUUGGGCAUGAAGGCUGCAUUCCAGGGCAUUGAGGCAGAAAACAACUCAAAGAGAGGUGGGGACAGAGAGUGCUACCUCCUCCAGCGAGAGGCCUUCUAGAUUCACUUACUAGACAUGCAAGAGUCUGCAGAGGUUUCAGUACAUCCAGAACUCUGCAGCUAGGAUCCUGAUGUGAGUGCGGAAACAUGAACACAUUACCCCCAUUCUCCACUCACUCCACUGGCUUCCCGUCUCCACCAGGAUUGAGUACAAGGUUUCCCUCCUCACUCACCAAUGCAUCUAUGGACAUGCCCCCCCCCCCCCC